GAAACCCAAUGGACAAGGAAGCCACCCACAGACUUCUAUGUUUAGCCAAUGGUACAGACCACGCCCCUCACCCACCCAGGCAGUCAGCCAAACAUGACCUCAUCCUUUACUCUAGACUCCACCCUGUCCCCUGCUGCCUCCGCCCCCAGCCCGGCCUCUCCAGACAGGGGCCCAGCCUAGCCAGCAACUUGGAAAUGAAGAGAGAAAAAGAUGGGACUCCAGGCUCACAGCCAAGGUAGGCCAGGAAACACAGGAAGCUGCCACACAUGGUGCAACCUUUGACCUUUAUUCAUGUCCUGCCCUCCCACCAAGUAAAGUCAAAUACAAGGCUACUACCCAAAGCAGAAACCCCAGUCCCUAUCCUAGACUCCUCCUGUGAGCCAAAAAUAUAUAAAGUGCUGGUGUGUAAUAUGGGGAAGGCCAAACGGACUAAGAACCCCACCCCUGGACCUCAUCAGGAGGAGGAGCCCUGCAAAAGAAGGGCAGGGCACCAACCUAGUUCCCAGAGGCAGGGAGAAGGGGCCUAGCAGCCCCCACUUGGGGCUGGGGAAACUCAUGCAGUCCAGGGCAGAAAGGAACCAAAAAAGAAACUGGCAGCAUGAAAUCCUACAAGGAUGAAAUGGGGGGAGGGGGGUCUGUACCCCUGUGAAGGGAAGAGUGGGAGGGUUAAGGAGGCUUUGGGGAAUUCAGAGAAUGGGACAGCCCCUCCGGCGCUGAUCCUGUUUGCCAUGUCCCGGCCUUCCUCAGAUCGAACCGGCUCCUGAUAAGACAAGAUACAGGGGCAAGAGAAGGGGUAACUGAGCAAAGACUGGGCCUACAGAAUUCCUAGGUCCAGCUACCACAGGCAUUUUCCAGGCUGGGGACCUAAGACCCAGGUUGCCCUUUCAGAAUUCUGUCUGUUCCUCCUCCCACCCAGCUUUACCCCUACAGUACCCAUUGCUCCUCUGAACAAGUGCCUACUGCCCAAAUGACCUCCACCCUCCCUCCUCUCUAGUCCUCAGCCUUCCUAAUUCGACCCUUUAAUACAGUGCCUCAUGUUGUGGGGAUUCCCACACACACUCUAUAAAAACCAUUUGUGUUGCU
rnacentral:lncRNA from 1 species